rnacentral:rRNA from 1 species
UACAGAGGUCUCAACCGUUGUUCGGAUUCAUUGGGCGUAAAGGGUGCGUAGGCGGUCGCGCAAGUCGGAUGUGAAAUCUUAGGGCUCAACCCUGAAACUGCAUUCGAUACUGCGUGGCUAGAGUACUGGAGAGGAGACUGGAAUUUACGGUGUAGCAGUGAAAUGCGUAGAUAUCGUAAGGAAGACCAGUGGCGAAGGCGAAUCUCUGGACAGUUACUGACACUGAGGCACGAAGGCCAGGGGAGCAAACGGG